rnacentral:tRNA from 1 species
GCGUAUGUAGCUCAAGUGGUAAGAGCGUGAGAUAAGAAUCUCAAGGUUCCAGGUUCGGGUCCUGGCGUAUGCU